GCCUGCUACUCUUUAUUUUCCUUGUUUCUUGUUGCUAAACAUGGUGAGAGCAAUCAGACCGGGUCAAGUGCUCAACAUCAGUCCAAGCGGAAGAUGAAUAGUUAACAGAUUAUUCGGUUGAAUCUGGCUUAGCGAAUCAGCAAUCAAUAGCUAAGCUUAUUAUAUAACCGGCAACACGGUCCAGAGAUUAGUUGGAAGAGUCGGGGCAGAAGAGGAUCUUGAGCUCGCCGGGCUGGAUGCAGCGCUGCGGCGUGGCCUCCACGUCCGUCGGCGUCGUCCGAGUGUCCGGGCACCUCUCCUUGAAGAAGUGCCCCUGACCCUGGGCCCUGCACCCGCCGGCGGGGGCCCUGGCGUCGCGGGGGCAGUCCACGUCGAGGUCCACGGCGCAGCCGAGCGACGGGCACUGUUGGUGCUGGCCCUGCUCGAACCUGUGCGGCGUCACCAUCACCGGCAAGUUGAACCCGUCCACCAGGCUCACGCUGUACGCCGCCAGCCCGCCGGGUCCAUGCACGCUCACCUGCGUCACAGUCGCCGGCGCCGGCGGCACGCCCGUGUCGCACCUGGUCACCGCCGCCGGCGAGGAGGAGGAGUCGUAGUCGUCGCUGCUGCUGCAGCCGGUGCGCGCCACGACGCGGCCAGACCAUGCGCCGGAAGGGAACGCCAGGGUGGCGAGCCCCUCGCCACCCCCGUCGAGGCGGCUGGCGGCGUCGUC
rnacentral:lncRNA from 1 species